rnacentral:rRNA from 1 species
UACGAAGGGGGCUAGCGUUGCUCGGAAUUACUGGGCGUAAAGGGCGCGUAGGCGGCACUGUUAGUCAGGCGUGAAAGUCCUGGGCUCAACCUGGGAACUGCGCUUGAUACGGCAGAGCUAGAGGAUGGAAGAGGGUCGCGGAAUUCCCAGUGUAGAGGUGAAAUUCGUAGAUAUUGGGAAGAACACCGGUGGCGAAGGCGGCGACCUGGUCCAUUACUGACGCUGAGGCGCGACAGCGUGGGUAGCAAACAGG